GAAAUGCGAUAAGUAAUGUGAAUUGCAGAAUUCAGUGAAUCAUCGAAUCUUUGAACGCACAUUGCGCCCGCUAGAAUUCUGGCGGGCAUGCCUGUUCGAGCGUCAUUUCAACCCUCGAGCUCCCCUUUCGGGGGGAGCCCGGCGUUGGGGACCCGGCGCUAACAACGCCGGCCCCGAAAUGGAGUGGCGGCCCGUCCGCGGCGACCUCUGCGUAGUAACAACCACUCGCACCGGGACCCGGGCGCGGCCACGCCGUAAAACACCCCACCUUCCGAAUGUUGACCUCGAAUCAGGUAGGAAUACCCGCUGAACUUAAGC
rnacentral:misc_RNA from 1 species